rnacentral:lncRNA from 1 species
GUUUUUUUUAGUUGUAGAUGGAUACGGUACCUUGAGUUUAUUCAUUUUUAUGUGGUGCUGAGGACCCAGAGUCUCACCUCCACCACCCAGCCCCAGCCCCACAGAAGGGGUUUUGUUAAGAAGUCUGCCCGACUGCCAGGCCAGGCCUCCUCUCACCGGCCUCACCCUCUGUCCAGAUUGGAAAGGCCUUUGUUUUAAGUUUGCUUUCCCUCAGGGCUGGGGCUGAGCCCAGGGCCUCCCCACGGGGAGGGCCUGAGCUCUGUUCUUGUUUUGGGCUGCUUCAGUGAGAACUCGGUUCCUCUCUUCAGCUUCACGCCGGGAAACUGCGAUUUCAGUUCUUGAUUUCUCAGGAAUUACACAGAACAGAGCCGGAACUGCUGCCGAGCCUGAUUCUCCAAUCUGAAAUUCGCAUCCACAGCAUAAGCUUGGAGGGGAGCCUGAGAGGGAGGCUGGGAGAACUGGGACCAUCUCUAACGGCCAGAGGCCCCCCCACUUCAAUUCCAGAGCUGGAGUGUCAGAGGGGCGUGUGGCCACCGCUGAAGGGGUGGGCCCCAUCUUCCUUGGAGCCAGGUACAGCCUCAAGGUCGAGUGAUGGGGACCGUGCUGUGUCCCCUUCUCUUUCCUAUCUGCUUUCAGCAGGAGAGUGGACGGGGGCAGGUGGAACUGCUCUGACCCUGGGCAGGGUGGAGUAGUGAGACAGCCGGGGGCUGGUUUUGGGGCCACCACAUGGAGUAGGGUCUCCUUCCUUCCUGGACCACCAACCACCCCUACAUGGUUAUUUCUAAUUCACCCCAGACGCUGUAUUUUGGGUCUUGUGAUUGUGCUUUCAUUGCUAUAACAAAACACCAAAGGCAUGCGAAGUUUCUAAGAAAAAGAGGCCUAUGUAGCUCAUGGAUUUUGGAGGCUGAAGUCCAAGGAGUGUGAGGGCCACCUGCUCUCCUAGUCUGCGUCCCAUUGCAGAUGGCAAUAGUAGGAGCCACUGUGGGAGGGAGGAAGAGAUGGCAUUGUUCAAUAGGGGCCCAGGAGGAAUGGCUGCUCUCCCUGGGGCAUGCCCAGGCUGUCCCAGGGACCCCCCCACUAGGUCCUGCCUCUUAAAGGCCCUCCGCCAUCCUCUACCACCUGAGCCUUCAGGGCAAACCCUGGUGGGCUAGCCACCACCCUGCACCUGGCGGGCAGCCUCCCCUGUCCACGCAACUUUAACUCUUGCCUUUGUAACCUGGCUCUCCUGACAGAGGUGCUCCCUGAGAACCGCAGCCGACUUGGUGUUCAGCCAGGGCCCAGCCGGAUAGCAACGCUGGAGGGCAGACAUGGGACACCUGAGGAUUCGCAGAAGCAGAAUCCUCAGGCACAUUCCUCAGGCCUCCCCAGGCACAUUCCUCAGGCCUCCCCAGCCUCCGGAUCCAGCUUGGACCUGGCCAAAUGGAUGUGACCUCACUUCUAACGGGUGGGAAGAUCCCACUGACCAAGGUGACUACAAUAACAAAGUAUCAGCUGCAAAGGUCCAAGAAAUGGGGAGGAUGUAAAUGUAGACAGCUUUAGAAUCCUGUGGAAAUAAGGAAGGCGGAGCUGGGCAGGGGGGCCACGUCUGUGAUCCCAGCAGCUUGGAGGCUGAGGUAGGAGCAUCGCGAGUCCAAAGCCAGCCUCAGAAAUGUAGCAAGGCCCUAAGCAACUCAGUGAGACCCGUCUCUAUAUAAAACACAAAAAGGGGCUGUGGACGUGGCUCAGUGGUUAAGCGCCCCUGGGUUUGAUUUAAAAAAAAGAAAAGAAAGGCAGAUGGGCGGAGAGGUAGCUAGCGCAGAGUGCUUGCCUAACUUGCGCAAGGCCGGGGGUUUGAACUCCAGGACAAAAGAAAGAAGAAGAAGACAAAAAAAAGUCUUGAAUUUGUGGCCAGACGAUCUUUGAUCUUUGAAAGGAAAAAUUCCUUUUGGAAAGAUGUCAGAGUUCGCUCAAUUUUAACCGGAAAUCCAUGAAAUUCCAACCAAAAUAACAACAGGAAAAUUUGGGGAAUUUGAGAAGAGAGUGUUUAAUUGAAAGAAAAAAAUAUGAAUGUGUGAGAAUUUCCAGGGAAAUUCUAGAACUGAAGUAUAACGAGGGACACUAGCUUUACCAAAUAUCCGAAUGAAGUACAAGGCAGGGUAUUGGAUACGCUGGUCCUUCAGAAAGGAUGGACAGACUGAGCAAUGUCACAGGUGGAGUCCAGAAAGAGACGCAGGUGGCUAGGGGCCUGGGCGGCUCCCACCAGGGGAGGGCCGCAGAGCUGUGUUGGGUGGGGACGGCCGGAUCUCUCUCUUUUCCAUAGCAGACAACAAAUUUUG